UUCAGACAGCACCUGUAGAACUCCUCUGUUUUUCCCCUGGGACACUUAUCACCCUUCCUUAAAUGCACUUUACUUGCUCUUAUCUGCCCCCUAUUUUACUGCAUUUAAUCCUGUACUUCAGAGUACUGUAAUCUGCCAAGUGUUUAAUCUGUAGUAUUUUGUAUUUAAUCAUAUCCUGAUGUAACUAUCACUGACACUUAUCUGCUGUAUUAUUUAAUUGUAUUUUGUCACUGUCACAAAGACGGCCAGAGUGGGUGGCGUCAGACCAGAAAAGGAAUACACAGACAGAGACAGUGGUGAUGAUGAGCUGAGUGCAAUGGCUGCACUCAGCGUUUAUUAACAAAUAAAAAGGUUUUAAACGGUACACAAAACAGGACACGGCACUGGUAGCCAAAAUAAACAGACAUACAAAACGACUAACACUAAACAAACGGUGCACGGACAGACAGACAGACAGACACGAUCUCCCUCCCGACCGGUGAGGGCGCUAGGGAGGAGGAGCAGACAUCCCCAGGAAAGGUGGAAGUCGGCCACCUGGAAAGGGGGCGGAACCACGGUACGCAAUGUCAUCGACCCCGACGGGAAGCGCUGUGGCAAUCAGGUAUUGACUGACGGCGGUUGCCCUCGCAGACCAAUGGGGACGGGAUGGAGCAUACAAAAGGGGGCGUGGCCCAGGGUUCUGUUCCUUCUGGCAAGGUACUGUGUGUGAGAGAGAGAGAGAGAGCAUUUGACUGCAAGAGAUACGAGCAGGGAAAUAGAGAGAGGAAACGGAAUUCGAGGAGUUCUUUUAGUGUGUGUGUGGAUAUACCUGCUAACCCCUGCACCUUUUGUCUGUCCAUAGAGCACUGACGGGACGCUCCGGGAAUACGUCGGAGGAGCGCGGACCCGGAAGUGCCGGACUGUUUACUGUGGUUCACCUCGUUUGGAUUGAGGAAGGACAGACUGUGAUUUUGCUGAGUCUACUUGGCUCGAUUUUAUUAUGCCGGACUCUACACCAAGGUGGCGAAAUAUGUAGCUACCUGCCCGGAAUGCCAGAGAGUAGCACCGGGUCGAGUGCGCCCCGCCCCUUUGGUCCCACUGCCUAUUGUCUCCACUGCCUUCGAACGCGUUGCAAUGGACAUAGUUGCCUUCUGAUUCCGGGUACACGCACAUAUUAGUGAUGGUGGAUUAUGCGACGCAAUACCCGGAAGCAGUUCCUUUGCGGUCCACUAGUGCCACUGCAACUGCGAAAGAAUUGAGUCAGAUUAUGGCUAGAGUAGGGAUCCCUAAAGAAAUAUUAACUGAUCACGGAACAAACUUUUUGUCCAAAACGCUACAGCAGGUGUAUAAGAUUCUAAAAAUACGUCCUAUCAGGACGUCCGUUUAUCAUCCCCAAACGGAUGGUCUGGUAGAAAGUUUUAUUGUUAUUAACAUCCGGGAUAUUGACAGGGGCUGGAGCAGUCUCUACCCUCAAGGGUCCAGUAACCUUGCCCACCCGGUCACACUGGGUGCCCACCCCCUUCGAUUGGCGUUUGGGACCAUCAAACCCUUCCCCCGCCAGACCCCAACCGUGUCGGAUCGAUGCGCCUUCCCACUUUUCCUUCCGUCUCUCCUUGUGCGUUUUCCUAGGAUGAAAAAGUGGAGAAAACAGUUCUGCAUGGAAAGGGAACAUGGUGCCAAUUACUUCCUUUUCCCAGGGGUCUGCCGUGCCUACAUGUGUGGUCGAGGCUGCCGAUAUUUUUACUAAAUCCUUAUAUCGCGGCCAGUCUCGACCCAGAAUGAUUGGGUGUGGUAACUUUUCGGCCACCCCCACUACUAGGUGGCGCUUUAUCGGUCCUAACGACAGAUAUACUUUUAAGGUGGGGUAUGUCGCCGUAUCUCCAUGGAUACAGGAGAUCGCCACCUGACCUCGUGGCUGCCACGACAUACCGCCAAGGAGAGCUGUCCGAAUCAAAGUCUGCUCACACCCGGUGUCCACUAACGCGUGGGUUUUCACCUUCCCCAGCACAACAUCAACAACACACGGGCCCUCCCGACCAUUUCCCCAUUCCUUACCCGUCUCCGAUGCCAGAUGACACGCAGCCACGUCGUACUCCAUGGCUACCGGGCAGUACCUGGUGAUGUGUCCUGGCUGCUGGCACCUAAAACAGACUGGUGGGGCAGAGGGCAAGGGCAGUACAUAUUUGUCCUGCUGCUGGUAUGACAGCGGGGCAGGGGAAACCAUUCUACCCCAGCUGGGAGCAAACCUCUGCCUCCAUGGUAAGGAGCUUGCAUGGCCCGACGGGGCCGGUGGUCUGGCAGGUCUUGGUCCGGGGGGGUUUGGUGGUGGUCCCUUAGUAACGGAGGGGGAGGGGCAGUUCAGCAAGGUGGUCUGGACGGACAUGAGGGAGUCCUCAAAGUUUUCGGCCAAUGCUACGUCCUGGUCCAGGGUGGUGGGGUUGUGCCGGCGUAUCCAGGCCUGCGUUUUGACCCCGACCACAUGGCAGAACUGUUCCAUUACUAUGGCUUCCCCCAUCUGGACCCCAGUUUUCUGGCUGGGGUUUAGCCAUUGCGCCUUGUGGUCGCAUAGCCGCUGAGCCACCACCUUGGGUCAUGUGCUCGAUGGCCGCCGGAACUCCCUGAAUCUGACCCGGUGGGUCUCCCUCAUGAUGUUCAGACGGCGGAGGAUAGCCUGCUCCACCAGGUCGUACUGGGCCGCGUCUUCAUCGGUCAUAGCCCAAUACGCGGCUUGCGCCUCCCCAAUCAAGCAAGGGCCAAGUUGGCUCGCCUAGUACUCCAGGGGCCAGGCUGCGGUGGUGGCCAGCCGCUCGAAUGCCACGAGGUAGGCUUCAGGGUCAUCCUCCGCCGUCAUUAUCUGGGCCCGGGCCUUCAGGGCAACCAUCACGGGGCCCGUUGUUGCUGCUGACGUCAUCCCCAUCCCGACCCUCUCAAUGAGGGCCGUGUAUCGCUCCUCCCUCCUCCGUUCCUCGACCUCCCUUCGGCUGUCCAAAGCCUCAUUGAAGCAAAUGUUGAGAAGGUUUGUGAGUCAGAAGCAAAAACAUUGGGCUACUCUUCUUCCUUACCUACUCUUCGCAGUGAGAGAGGUGCCUCAGAACUCAACGGGAUUUUCCCCCUUUGAGCUGUUAUAUGGCCGGCAGUCUCGGGGCAUCCUCGAUCUGUUGAGAGAAGGGUGGGAAGAACACAAAAGCUCCUCUAAAAAUGUAGUGCAGCAUGUGCUCCUACUGCGAGAUCGCCUUGAUUUAAUUGGUCGGCUGGCUCAAGACAAUCUUAGAUCGGCUCAACAUCGGCAACAGCAGCAUUACAAUACUAAUGCACGAAUUCAAACUUUUCGGCCAGGAGAUAAGGUAAUGCUGCUUCUUCCGUCAUUGGAGUCAAAACCGUGUGCUAAAUGGCAGGGGCCAUAUGAGGUGAUACGGGCAGUAGGACCAGUGAAUUAUGAAAUUAAACAGCCCGAUCGCCGUGCCCGGCAGGACUAACCUUACCAAAUAUGCUGUUAUUAUUCCACCAGGGGUCACUGUUCGGGAGAGGCCCUACCGGAUCCCAGAAAGCCGGCGGAGUGGUGUCCAGAACAAGAGCACUGACGGGACGCUCCGGGAAUACGUCGGAGGAGCGCGGACCCGGAAGUGCCGGACUGUUUACUGUGGUUCACCUCGUUUGGAUUGAGGAAGGACAGACUGUGUUUUUGCUGAGUUUACUUGUUUUGGUUUUUCGUUUCAUUUGGGACUGCAACCCUUUUUCCCUUUGUUUGGUCGGGUUACACAUUGUUGUGUAUCCCGGCGCUAUUAUUAUUAUCAUUAUUAUUAUUAUUAUUAUUAUUAUUAUUAUUAUUAUUAUUAUUAUUGUUUGAUCGGGUUACACAUUGCUGUGUAUCCCGGUAUUAUUAUUGUUGGGUUUUUUGUGUGACGAAUUAAAGCCGGGAGCUUAUACCAACAAACCUGGUCUGGUCUGACGAUCAUUUACACCACACGCUCAGCCAACCUGUCACACCCAGGUAUUGGGUAACAGAUUUCCUGAGAAUAAGCAUGGAAAUGUAUACUUGUCUCUAAUGUAGUUCCAGAUAUCAUGUUUUAAAAUUAAAAUACAGUAGAACCUGUCAAAUCCGAUCCUGUAAGAUACGAUAUUCUCUAUUAACCAAUGGACCUCUGACAUGUAUCAUUUACACAUACUGCUACCUACUGAAUGGCAGAGACGGAUCAAUGCACAUUUAUUAUGAGCCUCAAACAGUCAAUUUAGCUCUUAGCAGGACAGAAUGGAUUCAGCUGAAGAUAAAAAGAAAAGAAAAUAUUUGCAUUUGGGAAUUCAGUUUCCCUUUUCUGUCACUUCUUCAAGUAACUGCCCAGUUUAACCAUGUUAAAGAAAAGACAAAACAAGAAAGCAAGGGGUUAAUAUAAUUACUGUUUGUGUUUGUGUGCGUGCUUUCUUCUUGUUGUUCC